rnacentral:rRNA from 1 species
GAUGAACGCUGGCGGCGUGCCUAAUACAUGCAAGUCGAGCGAACGGACGAGACGCUUGCUUCUCUGAUGUUAGCGGCGGACGGGUGAGUAACACGUGUAUACCCUACCUAUCAGACUGGGAUAACUUCGGGAAACCGGAGCUAAUACCGGAUAAUCUUUUGAACCGCAUGGUUCAAAAGUGAAAGACGGUCUUGCUGUCACUUAUAGAUGGAUACGCGCUGCAUUAGCUAGUUGGUAAGGUAACGGCUUACCAAGGCAACGAUGCAUAGCCGACCUGAGAGGGUGAUCGGCCACACUGGAACGGAGCCACGGUCCAGACGCCUACGGGAGGCAGCAGUAGGGAAUCGUCCGCAAUGGUCGAAAGCCUGACGGAGCAACGCGGCGUGAGUGAUGAAGGUCUUCGGAUCGUAAAACUCUGUUAUGAGUGAAAAACAUAUGUGUAAGGAACUGUGCACAGCUUGACGGUACCUAAUCAGAAAGCCACGGCUAACUACGUG